CAUAGAUAAGAUUUAGGAAGGUAUAAAAGAAGAACUAUCAUUAUUCAGAGGCAUAAGUUUCCCUAGUUUGUGAUUGUCACAGAAUUAUAAACUCGUUAAUAUGAAGGGUAGUAUAAUAGUGCCCGUUUUGGUAGUACUAAUCGCGUGUGCCUUCAAUUUCGCGGAUGCUCAGAUCAGUGGGGGUUGUAUCUUUUCCUGCAGCAUUUGGAACGUAUGUCGAGCACAACAGGCGAUUCAAGGGAACCCGGCAAGUUGUGAUCCACAACCUGCAGGUUGUGACUGCAGACGUUUUUUAUGGGAGAGAUAAUUACUUUUUUGUUUGACAAAUUAUACUUAUUAUAAAUUUUUAAUGUGGGUUAAUAAAAUAAAAAGAAAUUC